rnacentral:lncRNA from 1 species
UCAGAUCUCCAUACCUCGGAUCCUGUGGAUGUCCCGAAUUCUGAUCGUAGCCACGCACGUGCCCGACCUUUGCUGGAAUCCACACAGAACUGUCUGAUCAAAGCACUGAGAUCAUCGAUAUGUUAGUAUCUUACAGAUCUCACUCCUCAUCUUUGAAUCUAGAUCUCUUCUUCUAGAUCUUGAAGAAGGAGAUCGUUGCGCGAACUCUUUCGCGCAGAUCCGAUGGGAUCUGAACCAGAUCACUAUGAAGAGAAGAAAAAUCCUUCUUCUUCUCUUCUUCUCUCUCUUUUCUCUUCUUAGAUCUGAUCUCUAUCAGAUCUUGAUGUGGAAGAUGA